rnacentral:lncRNA from 1 species
GGAAUCAAAACAGUAAGUAGUAUAUUAUAUAAUACUGGAUAAACUCUUGUUACAAAGAAGUUAACAUAUGUGAUUUUAGAUCACUGUGGAAGGACCUAUAGCAGUUCCUAUACAUGGCACAUGUGCAAAGGUAGGUAUACAUAGUUGAGUAUAGGCGCUUCACAUAAUAUACACUGGGACAAUAGCAUUUGAAAUUUCAUAAGCGGGCUGCCAUGUCUAGUUCAGAAGGCAUCGUCACAUACACAGGUUCAACCUAUCAAGUUGAACCGCAAGUUGUUCUAUGCACUGAGUAUGACCCUGUUCAUGUUGCAAAUGCAGGACCGAUCUUGCUGCUCCAUUCUAUAGCAGUAGGAAAAGGGUUAGCAGCCUAAUGAGUAUGCAAGGUACAUGUCAAAUAUGUUGCAGUAUGAAGAAAAGGGUUAGUGUCAUAGGGAGUAAAAGCAAAUUAAGGCAGGAAAAAAGGCAAAGAACCAAAGUUUCGCGUGUUUCCAAAGGGAAAGGAAAAAGAAAACAAAAAAUAUCUGAGAUAGAAAUAGUGGAUUUAAUGAAAAUAACAUAUCUAUAGGCACAGAUCUAUGCAAGCAGAAGGAGCAUAGGGACAUAGGCAGCAUGAAUAUAGUUGUGCACAUACAAGCUGCUAAUACUACAUGUUUUUAACUUUCCUUAUUUAUGUCAUGUAUACAUGGCAAAACUGAUAUUGAGUGUUUACAUUCCACUAUAAUACAUUAUAUUUUGAGGCAGAUAAGGAGUAUUCAUGUUAAAUAUAGUACCCGUGGGGUGUUCAUCUUUCGUCAUGUGUAUGGAAGGUCAUGUGGGUACAGGUAUGCUAAAAUUCAGUACAAAGAAAAAUAAGAUGGCAGCAUAGGCAUGUACUUACCGAAAGAUGACAUUAUAAAGGACAGCUUGCUGAACCAAUCUGAUGCGGAGACCGCAUGUGUAGGCAUGACACGAAUGAGAACAUGAGAGGACAAAGAAAAUGUAUUUCCUGAAGGCAUUUGAAGACACCCAUCAUUUUAAGAAUAGAAAGUUAGAAGCAAUAUGCCAUCUCAAAUAUGCAAAACAGAACAACUUAGAUCACUGUGAACUGAAAUGGAUAGAUCGACACCAUGUAGUCAAAUGCUGAGCCUCGUGGCUUUGAUAAGAAAUAAAUAAAUCUACUGGGUGGACCAUUAGAAAAAACAAUGAUGAAAUUCACUUGAUAGAAAUCUAAAAUAAAAGCACACAUAUGCCACACUAAAAGCAUAGGUAUGGAUCUGAUUACCUCAGCAAAUUAGCACAAACACGAUGAAAUUUUAUAGCUUGAACACUGAUACAAAAUCGUUUGAUCCACUGAAAGAACCUGGAAAGUAUUAGCUUCAUACAUCAACCAUAAAUAUAAAGUGGCAAAGGAAUCGACACUAAUGAAUGCAUAUAGUAUAUUUCUAUUUUCUAAUUGACAUGCAUCGUAUAUCUACUUGAACCUUCAUGACACAGUUGCUGGAACAAUUCAGAACCCAGCAAAUCAGAACAGUCUGUGUCAUGAAGAAAACACCAUAUUCAUUUAUGAAUCCGGCAUCGUCUUGACAUCUGAGACAACUGAAAAUAAAACUGAACCCAAAAAGUUGGUUGAUGUAUGUUCUACUGUAGUUGGCUAGUUAAAAGCAAUUUUUUUAGUCUGCAUAUGUUCCUUCAUGUAGUCGCAUUGUAAUACAUGAUAUAUCAUAGUCCCUGCAAUUACAAUGGAACUACAUGAAGGAACAAAAUGGAUUAUAUUAGAAGCAAAAUUAAACAAACUUCAGGAGUCUAAUAUCUAUAUUUUUUUACCAUCCCAGUUUAGCAGCCUAAGCCAUGACCUCAUGAACAAACUUGAGAUAUAUACUCUGUAUGAAUGAUUUAAUCUUAAAAUUUCUUUUUAGAUAAGGAGCUUGAUAAACUGAAUUUGGAGCAGCACCUAUGUAUUAUUUUGUUAUGGAGUGUACUAUGCUUCUUCUGUAUAAGCUAUACCGAUAUUAAACUCAGUAUCCCUGCAAUCUAGAAGCUAUACCAAGUAGGUAAGAACAAACUUAUGUAACAAAAUGCACACCGGAAUAACAAUUGUACUUCUGAAUGCACGUCAGAAUGAUAAUUGUACUCUUGGAGUAGUGAUGCCGUGAUGGUGUCCAGAUUGAAGCCUGGUUGCUGAUCCGCGGUGUUGUGUCGAGGAGGCGGCAAGCCUGCCGGCGCACCGCCCACGGAGGACGGCGUCACUACGCUCGCUGCCGCCUCGGGAGAGACCGAGGGCGAGAAAGUGAAUGUUUUUUUUUUUUGCAAGGAGGGGGAGCUGCGAGAUAUUUAAGUGGAGAGAUAUGGUUGGGUUUUUUUUGGCGAUGUCGCCCAGCGAUGGCCAAGCGAAGGAAAUCAAGCUGUGUACAGUUAAGAGUAGAGAACACUAUUAGCCAUGGCUGAAGCUACUUUGACAUAUCUUAAACACUAAAUGGCAAUACCUCAAACAGUUAAUUAGGAAACAUGCGAGUUAUAGUACAUCGAAAUUGCUAUGACAUUUUUACUUUUAGGAAAUGAUAUUUGACAAAACCCAAUUUCAAAGAAUGUAUAAGCAUAUCACCAGGGAAGAGGAACUUUCCAUGGUUUUGUAAAUUAUGGAACCACCAAGCAAGAAGACUAACACAUUAGAAAAUAAACAAGAUUAACAUAUCGAAGGUAAAAUUGAGAGGCCUAAAUGUGCUGACAUGGCAAUAUUUUUCACUAAGAACACAAAGAGUAGGCACAUGUGUGGGGAAAAAUUGCAGAUAGGUAGCUUCGGCAUAUAAACAGAAGAUAUCAUCCUUUACAAAUAAUUAGCAAUUGGAAGGCUGCUAUGUGAACCAUGAAUAUAUCAUAUAAAUACAUCGGAAGAGAAGGGAGCAUAGGAGGUAUUUCUUUCUGUUUCAUUAUCAGUUAGGAGUUAGUAUAACGAAAAAGAAACCAUCUGAAAAGGAAGGUAUGUAAGCUGAAAUAGCACACACAAGAGUAAAAAAAUAAGUAUGAGAGAAGGCAUGAAUGAACUAACCAAAUCUUGGAGGACUCCACCCAAAUCUCAAUCCCAUAUGUUUAAGACCUGCAUACAACAUAGGAAAGAAAUAGCUAAUUGGGAUUUAGAAAAUAAUAAGCACUGGCAGAAAUUAAAGAGUAGAACGCUUAAGGGUACAGGCAACAGGAAACAGAAAGUAUGUUAUAGGCAACAGGAAAUGCAAAGUAAGUCGCACAACAUGCAACGUUGUCCCAAUGAAGCAAACCCAUAGCCGGAAACACGUAUCUGUGAAGGAGAAUAUGAAUUAGUAACUAUUAAUGAUGGUGUAGGCAGGAGGCACAAAAUUCGGGAACUGUGAAACAUAAGAACAUGGAAGGCUAUAGGCAACGACAGAUGGUACCUGAACCUUGCAACACAAACUUUCUUCCAUAAUUAUUAGGAGACAUAUAUCUUACCAGGAAGACCAAUAUAGAAAUGAGAGUACCUAAGAGAUGGCACCGAGGUCGCUGAAUACCGGAGAAAAGGAACUUUCCAUGGUUAUGUAAAUCUAAGGACCAAACAAGGAAACCAAUACAUCAAGCACUAUGAAACAAAUGGGUAUUGGAUUAACCAACAUAGGUUUCCUGGAUUUAAAAAAAAUAGAAACCCAUACAGUUUUGUCUCCUAAGCUGUAAAAACAUGAUAAAGUACAUAAUUCUUGUUCAAUGAAUUAACAUGCCAAAAAAAUAAUUGUUGUUUAGUACUGAGGUUUUCUUUAGACAGUUAGAGCCUACAGUAUAAUAGAACUAAUGAACAUGAAACUCAUCUCGUUUCAAUUCAACAUACAGGUGUAUUUAUCACAAGCCAAUUCGAAAGCAUCAAAUCUCACAAAUUGCCAGCAUAAAUAUUUGGUAGUCUAAAUUAAAUAAUGGUCAUGCUAUUAUUGAUAGAUACCCUGAUUCAUACUAUAGAUAGAUAUCCUGAUUCAUACCUAUGCAUUUCAAUUCGUACUAUAGAUAGAUAUCCUCCUGGAAGGCUGGAAGACUGCAGUCAGUAGCAAGAUACCACACUGAGGCAAGAGGGAUGUCCCUAUACAGAGAAAAUACAUUAAGGAAUCAAUGCAUAUAUUUAAGUAAACAUAAACCCUGUUUGUAUCUUGAGAACAUGGAGAAGAGGGCAUGGUGAUGUUAUAUGUUGAGUGUAUGCCACGGCACAAAUAGAUUUUCUGAACCCUGCAACCAAAAGUUGGUCUCAGCAAUGUAACUGCAUAAAAAUUAGUUGUACUUUGGAACCUUAGUCCACUGCCACAUGAUGAAAACAAACAAAUCAAAAUUUUACAUGGCCAAACCAAGUUCAAAUCUUGGAGUUUGACAUUUUAUAAGCAAAUUCAAUAACCCAACCAGACCUAGCAUCCAGUUGAGGUCUGUUCUUUUACAGAACUAACUGCCCAAAUUAGCUUAUGUAGCUUAUAGAAAUUAGAACCUUGUGAUUGUAUGCCUCUUGGUGGAGAAACAUGAAUCCAACUUCUUGCAAGGGUAAAAGAAUACGAAUAUCCAUAUCGAAAAGCUAUAUACACGGUUGCAAAGUUAUACUCCAGAUUCCAGUGGCAUAGCUAAAAGCAAAAUAAUAUUUUAGAUAGGAAAGGCAUAUCCAUUGUAAGAACUAUAGAAUGGGAAUCAAAUAAGGAAAGGCAAUGCAUAUAUAUUUUAGAUAGGAAAGGCACAUCCAUUGUAAGAACUAUAGAAUGGGAAUCAAAUAAGGAAAGGCAAUGCAUAGCUUUAGUUUAGAAACCUAAAGGAAAAACCGACCCAGCAGUCCACCAAAUAAUAAAUCACCUUGGUAGCAAGGAACAACUGCAAAUACAUCUUUGGAAAUGAGAUGUGCUCAAUAAUAGGACAACCAAUAAACUGUGUGAAGCAAAGAUGUCAUAGACAAUGGACUUGUGCUCAUCAACAAAUGGGCAAAAUGUAGCAGCAGCAUGAGAAGCAUGUGAACGGAGUUUUUUUAGACGACAUGGAAAAACCACGGCCAAGCCAAUGACCUGUGUAGAGGUGGACCAAUAAGGAAAGCCGAAGUUGACCUGUCACCGAGGUGGACCAGCAAAAAAAUUUCGGGCGAUGUGGCCCCUAUGACUGCCCCGGGAGUGCUGACAGUUUGUUAGGGUAAAAAUACCGACUCCCGCUUUGAUAAGCAAAUGGACAAAAAUGUAGCAGCUAAUAGAAUGAUACUGUCAUCACAAAGCCAAUGAAAAUAGCUGGAUUUACACAACAACGAAGUAAUUAUAUAGUCAUCAUUGCACAAUUCUGUUGUCUCAAUCUACAAAAAGUUCAUCAUUGCACAACCCCAAACCUCAGUAGACAACAUGAAUGAACUAAUCAAUAAUCACUGUAUAAGCAGGAAGGAUAUCAGUCAGUGUGCAUAUGAUCUGCACAAUUAUAAAAACAAGAGAACUGCAGGAGAUGAUGGACCCGGCACCAAGAUCAGGGAAGCUACGUGGAGAAAAGGGGGGAGGACAAUAAAUAUAGGGUAAAAUCAAUGUUGCCUUACCGGAUUGCCUUAAUUAACAAGGAUUCACCCCCCCCCCCCCUCCAAAUCGCCCAUCGAAUGGAUAAAACGUGUACCUGGCAGAUUCACUGCAUAGAGUAAGGAGAGAGACAGAGAGGGGGAACAAACCUGCGAGCGGAUGGACCGAGGGAGAGCAGAGGCACGGUGACCGCCUGAGGUCACGCCGGGGGGAGGGGGAACGACCGGUGGGGGAAGGAAAGGGGGCUGUCCACGCUGGCAUGCCGCGAGGUGCGACCGCCUCGUGCCCGUCGCCACCUCGGGAUGGAAGGAGGGAGAGAGAGGAAGGGGAGAGAGAAAGGGAGGAUGCGUCAGCACCGCCCCGCAGCGUCAGAGGUGGUCGCCCCUUGCCGCCGAGACGACCACGUGCUGCGCCGCCGGCACCGCAACGUGGCGCACCCGUGCUGAUGCACCGGAAGGGGGCUGCGGCGGCCGCCGUGCCCUGCCCACGUCGGGGGAGAUGGAAGGAGCGAGAGGGAGAAGAAGAGGAGGAGGGCGCGCGGUGCUCCGGCGGCGGAGGGCGCCGUCGCCGCGCUCGCUUUUGCCUCGAGAGAGACCAAGGGAGAGAGAGAGGAUAGGGAGGGAGGAGAUAUUUUGGCUGAGCAUGUGGAUGAGGAGACGACGAGAAGCGUAGGGACGAAGCGGAGAGGACGGCUUCGGUAACCAAGCUGAGGUGGCUGAGGUGGACCAAUGGGAGGGGGAGGAGGUGACGUGGCGCCGAGCUGGACCAAUAAAAAAAAUUCAGGUGACGUGUAUAGCCUCCCUGCCCGUGUACCUGGCAGAUUCACUGCAUAGAGUAAGGAGAGAGACAGAGAGGGGGAAACAAACCUGCGAGCGGAUGGACCGAGGGAGAGCAGAGGCACGGUGACCGCCUGAGGUCACGCCGGGGGGAGGGGGGACGACCGGUGGGGAAAGGAAAGGGGGCUGUCCGCGCUGGCACGCCGCGAGGCGCGACCGCCUCGUGCCCGUCGCCACCUCGGGAUGGAAGGAGGGAGAGAGAGGAAGGGGAGAGAGAAAGGGAGGAUGCGUCGGCACCGCCCCGCAGCGUCAGAGGUGGUCGCCCCUCGCCGCCGAGACGACCACGUGCUGCGCCGCCGGCACCGCAACGUGGCGCACCCGUGCUGAUGCACCGGAAGGGGGCUGCGGCGGCCGCAGUGCCCUGCCCACGUCGGGGGAGAUGGAAGGAGCGAGAGGGAGAAGAAGAGGAGGAGGGCGCGCGGUGCUCCGGCGGCGGAAGGCGCCGUCGCCGCGCUCGCUUUCGCCUCGAGAGAGACCGAGGGAGAGAGAGAGGAUAGGGAGGGAGGAGAUAUUUUGGCUGAGCAUGUGGAUGAGGAGACGACGAGGGACGAAGCGGAGAGGACGGCUUCGGUGACCAAGCU